UGAGACAGUUCGGUCCCUAUCUGCCGUGGGCGCUGGAGAACUGAGGGGGGCUGCUCCUAGUACGAGAGGACCGGAGUGGACGCAUCACUGGUGUUCGGGUUGUCAUGCCAAUGGCACUGCCCGGUAGCUAAAUGCGGAAGAGAUAAGUGCUGAAAGCAUCUAAGCACGAAACUUGCCCCGAGAUGAGUUCUCCCUGAGACUUAAAGUCUCCUGAAGGAACGUUGAAGACGACGACGUUGAUAGGCCGGGUGUGUAAGCGCAGCGAUGCGUUGAGCUAACCGGUACUAAUGAACCGUGAGGCUUAACCUUACAACGCCGAAG
rnacentral:rRNA from 1 species